CUCUGUCUGGCAGACUCGGAGGUUUGGGGGCAGUGAGGGGGUUCAGGGGGCCCUGUGGGGAGCCCUGGAGGGGUUUGGGGGGCUCUGUCUGGCAGAGUGGGAGGUUUGGGGGCAGUGAGGGGGUUCAGGGGGGCCUGUAGGGAGCCCUGGAGGGUUUGGGGGGCUCUGUCUGGCAGAGUGGGAGGUUUGGGGGCAGUGAGGGGGUUCAGGGGGCCCUGUGGGGAGCCCUGGAGGGUUUGGGGGCUAUGUCCGGCACAGUGGCAGGUUUGGGGUCAGUGAGGGGGUUGAGGGGGCUCUGUGGGGGGCCCUGAGCCCCCCACUGCCCCCCCAAACUUCCCACCCAGCAAUAAACAACCAGGGAUUCCGCGCCCCCAGCCCCUUUGUGCUCCAGCUGGUAACACUGUAUUCCGAAUAAAGUCUCCUGCGUUUACACAGGGAGAGUCACUCCAGAUUCAGGAAGCUGGGAGUGUGUGGCUCCCUUAGGGGGGGUGUCUCCCUCCGGGGGGGCCCUCACUGCGGGGAGCUCAUGGCGUGAGGGGGCAGCACUGCAGGUUGGUCCCAGAGGGCAGAGAAGCCAAGGGGCUCCCCCCAGGGAGACUGUGAUCCCAAGGGGGGCUGGUGCACUGAGGGGGUCCGCCCUAGGGGCAGUACCAGAGCUGAGUGAGAGCCAGGCCAGUGGAUCCUUGUGGUCCCCCCUCCGGUACACCUCCUCCACCGGGCCUGUCUCGUUCCCUCGCUCCGGCACUCCUCCUCCACCGGUCCUGUCUCGUUCCCUCGCUCCGGUACUCC